rnacentral:rRNA from 1 species
AGUGAGGAAUAUUGCGCAAUGGGCGAAAGCCUGACGCAGCCAGACCGCGUGCAGGAAGACAGCCGUAAGGUUGUAAACUGCUUUUGUCAGAGAGGAAAAGUAUCUACGUGUAGGUAUUUGACAGUAUCUGACGAAUAAGCACCGGCUAACUCCGUGCCAGCAGCCGCGGUAAUACGGAGGGUGCAGGCGUUAUCCGGAUUUACUAGGUUUAAAGGGUCUGUAGGCGGUAUAGUAAGUCAGUGGUGAAAGCCCUGAGCUCAACUGAGGAAUUGCCAUUGAUACUGCUAAACUUGAGUUUUGGUGCUGUUGGCGGAAUGCAUCAUGUAGCGGUGAAAUGCUUAGAUAUGAUGCAGAACACCGAUUGCGAAGGCAGCUAACAAACCGGAUACUGACGCUGAUAGACGAAAGCGUGGGGAGCGAACAGGAUUAGAUACCCUGGUAGUCCACGCCGUAAACGAUGGACACUCGUUCUUGGACUUUAUAGUUCAGGGACUAAGCGAAAGCAUUAAGUGUCCCACCUGGGGAGUACGUCGGCAACGAUGAAACUCAAAGGAAUUGACGGGGGCCCGCACAAGCGGAGGAACAUGUGGUUUAAUUCGAUGAUACGCGAGGAACCUUACCUGGGCUUAAAUGUCGGGCAUCUUCGGAUGUAGUCAGUAGAAAUACUGCUUAGACCGGCAAGGUGCUGCAUGGUUGUCGUCAGCUCGUGCCGUGAGGUGUCGGGUUAAGUCCCAUAACGAGCGCAACCCUUAUCCUUAGUUGCCAUCAGGUAAAGCUGGGCACUCUAGGGAAACUGCCAUCGUAAGAUGUGAGGAAGGUGGGGAUGACGUCAAAUCAGCACGGCCCUUAUGUCCAGGGCUACACACGUGUUACAAUGGUCGGUACAGCGGGCAGCCACUUGGUGACAAGGAGCUAAUCCUGAAAGCCGGCCUCAGUUCGGAUUGGAGUCUGUAAUUCGACUCCAUGAAGUCGGAUUCGCUAGUAACCGCGUAUCAGCAAUGAUGCGGUGAAUACGU